rnacentral:ncRNA from 1 species
CAAAAGCUUGGUCCUGACUUUACUGUCGGCUUUUACUAAACUUACACAUGCAAGUUUCCGCAACCCUGUGAGAAUGCCCUUAAUAUCCUUAACCGGACACUAGGAGCUGGUAUCAGGCACAUACCCACUCCGCCCAAGACGCCUUGCUUUGCCACACCCCCAAGGGAACUCAGCAGUGAUAAACAUUAAGCUAUGGGCGAAAGCCUGACUUAGUAAAAGUAAUCAGAGCCGGCUAAACUCGUGCCAGCCGCCGCGGUUAUACGAGGGGCUCAAGUCGACAGGCAUCGGCGUAAAGGGUGGUUAAGAUGAAAUUGCCCUAGAGGAAAACGCCUUCCAAGCUGUUAUACGCCCCCGAAGGUAAGAAAAACCUGCACGAAAGCCCCUCUAACAAGUCUGAACCCACGACAGCUUUGGUACAAACUGGGAUUAGAUACCCCAUUAUGCUCAGCUGUAAACUUAAAUGAUUAAUUAUAAUAUUCAUCCGCCAGGGAACUACGAGCAAAAGCUUAAAACCCAAAGGACUUGGCGGUGCCUCAGACCCCCCUAGAGGAGCCUGUUCUAGAACCGAUAUUCCUCGUUAAACCUCACCGUCUUUUGUUUAUCCCGCCUAUAUACCGCCGUCGUCAGCUUACCCUUUGAAGGUACCGAAGUAAGCACAACAGUUAUAAAACAAGCACGUCAGGUCGAGGUGUAGCAUAUAAGACGGGAAGAAAUGGGCUACAUUCUCUCGUCCAGAGAAAAACGAAAAGGGCACUGAAACCUGCCCCCGAAGGCGGAUUUAGCAGUAAGUAAGAAAUAGUAUGUCUAACUGAAGCCGGCCCUGAGGCGCGCACACACCGCCCGUCACUCUCCCCAACCAAUAAACUGCUUUUAUAAAGAAAAAUGAAAAAAAGGGGAGGCAAGUCGUAACAAGGUAAGUGUACCGGAAGGUGCACUUGGACAAC